UAUAUAUAUAAAUAAAAUUUGAUUGCGCAGCUGAGCUGUUAUAUCAACUAUAAAAUUAGGAGGUGCUGUGCAUUAUGUACUUAACUAUGCCUGUGUGUAUUUAAAGAAACUGAGAAAUCAGAUAAUGAGUUGUAAAUUAUUUUAUUUUCUGUAUGGUCUUUAUUUCCUUGCUUUUCUCUAACAGCACCUGAGAAGUCUAUAUAUGAAUGUUCUAGUUUGUCAUUGUUUUGAAAAAAAUGGGGAUAUAAAGGUUUGUUUAAAUGUUAUUUUAUUAAGGAAUUUAAAUUGCAUUAAAAUUGUAAAAGAUGAUUUUGUGUUUCAAGUUGUUUAAUUCCACCAGAGAGAGCUGUUGUCUGUCUGUCUGUCUGUCUGUCUGUCUGUCUGUCUGUCUCUCUCUCUCUCUCUCUCUCUCUCUUUCGUUCGUUCGUGCUCGCACGCAUUCUCGCUCUUCUCUCUCUCUCUGGUAUGAUGACAGUUCUGAGGCGCCACUCUGAGCGCUUAGUGUGUGGUUGUGUUUUCAUAUUGUCACCCAUCUUGGUGAGCUUAUUAAACCUCUCUACUCUUCUGCUGGUAAGUACUGAAAAGUAAGAAAUCUAAAAACGUACCAGUGAAAAGUUACUGAAAUUCUUUCAGUAAAAACAUUUUCUAAUGAAUAGUAGCUAAGAUGUGUAUUAUGACUAUGGUUACGCUUCCACUGAAUGCCAGAGCAAUAUUUGGAUGAAAUUUUUCCAUUUCGCUUCUUGGUGCAGUUGUUGUGAUGUGGGCUGUUCCUCUUAUCUUGUCAGUGAUGUCUUUAGUGCUGUAUGUAGGACCCUCAUUCUCUUCUUGCACUACCAGUGUGAGGGUUCAGGAUUUACGCUGCCACAUGCACUGGAACUGUUCUGAUGUCACCUCCACCACUGCGACCUUCACUGUCCAGUCAAAGAAACAAGGGGAAGAGUGGCAGAAUGUCUCUCACUGUCUACAGAUCACCUCCGAUAGUUGUGAUCUGUCUGAGGUCUUCGAUGACUUUGAUCUCUAC